rnacentral:lncRNA from 1 species
UCUGCCCCACUCCUAAUGCUCCAGCUUCGCUUCGCUCGCUGUCGCAGUCGUGGUCCAGAAACCCCCAAUAUAUAGCUCGUAUCAGUGGGGUAGAACCCGUUUCCCUAUACGUAGUCGUAUCAUUGGGGUAGAACACCGAGAUGCAUUUGGAUUUUCUCGAUACGUAGCCGUUAACGUUGUAUUCAGCUAAAUCCAAAAUAUUAUGUUAAGUGAGGGUUGAUUUUAUGUUACGAUAAAAAAAUGCAAAAGGCUUAACACAACGGGUACUGCUAGCAUUGCACCCACCAGAUCUUGUUCUAUUUGAGAACCAGAUCUCGUAACGCACCAUCAUAGCCCAGAUUUGCAUCGGGUAGAGGUUUGCCGGGCUAGGUUUAUUACGGUGUUUUUCACACUCUCACAACACAGACUUGGCCAGAGACUGUAAUGUUAGAGUAUGGAUGGGAUCUCCAACGUUACUACGACCGUCUAGCAACAUGGAUCACCCGUGUAAUACAGCACCUACCAUGAGACAGGAAUUUAUCGCUGUAUACGUCAUCACGUAUGUGUUUAACCGUCAUCACGUUGUAGUGUGUCAUGCAUACAUACCCUGCCCAAGGUAGGGUUAUUAGAACCAAGUAUGUUGCACACGCCACCGCGUUACCAAGUCAAUGUCACAAGGUUGGCCAUGCCUCGCAACAUCGAAGAGGUAAGAGUACCUGAGACUAUCGGUCGGUAUAGCCACAGUCACUCCGACAUGCCUUUCAUUGUAAAUUGUAUAUAUACAAACGAAUACAAAAAACUUCAAUAGCGCGAUGUAGACCUGACAAUGUGAUUGGUUGUUAAAUGUGACGUUGGUGUUACGAGAUUUAACGUAAUUUGCCUUUACUAGUACCGAUUUCAACCAUAGUCCGAUCGUAUUCAAGUUCAAAAUACAUUUAUGUAAUUUUAUCUUCAUGUAAACUUAGUUCAUAAUGUAAAACCAACAAAACUUAAAGUAAGGUUAAAUCAAAAAACAAUGUUAUCCACUGAAAAUAAAGCAUAAUUUUUAUUUAAGUCUAUAGUUACAUACAUACAUAUGAUCGUAAGACUAACAAAGUACGUAUGUAUUAAUACUCUAAAUUGUUUAUGAAACGUAAAUAGUCGAACCUGCUAUGCUUUGUCUUUGUCAUACUUUGGAUAUAAUAUAUAAAUAAACAAGUGACGGAACAUGCGAUAACAGGUAGUCGAGUCCGAUAUGUUGAUAUGUAAUAAUCCGAUUAAAGAAUAAAAUAAGAGAUUGGUUACUGUUUCUACCUAAGUCAUAUACGCAUCUAAGUUUAUGAACAUAAUACUGAUAAGCUUAAUGAAUGAAAAGUAAUGGUAAUACAGACUGAUUAAAUAAAAGAUAGGAUUUAAACCCUUAUUUUUGAAAUGAUCUACAGGAAAGACGCGAACCUUUUUGCUUUUCACUAUCGCAAAUUCAAAUUAUUUUGACAAAUAAGUCUAUUGAAAAGAAUAGUGUAUUGAAUUUAAGUUAAUUACAUUUAUAUAUAUAUAUAAUAGUAAUAAUUUUUUUCUGCAUAUCAACAACUAUUAUUCGAAAUGACGCUUCUGUUGUGUUAAUCACAAUGUGUCGAGGUAUUUUAUUUCAAUCAACAAUGUCGCUGAUAUGAGAAUUGCAUGUUACUUACUGAAAAUGAUGACGCUGUGUUUAUUGUCCUAUACCAUGAUAUUAUUUAACCAACAUUCUAUAAAGGUGAGUUGUGUUUUAUUGUAUGAAACAUUGUUGUUCUUUAAUGAUUUUAUAAUAAUUUAGUGUAAAUAAUUAAUGCAUAUAAUAUGUUAAUACAUAUUAUAUGCAUUGAAGAAGGUUUGUUUUUAAGUUGUUUUCCAUAAAUGUUCAAAAAUAUUAUAAGUAGUCUUGUCCUUGUAUAGUGUGUCACUGACUUUCUUAAUUACUCUGUGCCUUUAAUUGUAUAAUAAUUAUUGUAUUGCACUAUCGCCCGACCCAAGGCUCCACGGAAGACCAGCGCUGUGCCACCAUCAGUGUCAGAGCAUAUGUCGAGUGGUGUCCUUUUGCAACCACAAACCAAACCCAAUGUAACUGAUUUUGUACUGUUUAGUAUGUAAGCCUCAUAUUGUAUAUUUUAUUUGGCUGCAAUUAAUGUCUUUAUUUUCUUACUUUCUUUCUUCUUUCAAAAAUGUUUAAUACUUACGUAGGUAGCACCCGAACUAACGAAAAACGAUAGUGUUGAUGGUAUUUGUCAUAUAUAUAUAUAUAUACUGAAAUAAAAAAUAAAAAACAUUUUGAACUUAAUCGGUAAGUACUCGUGGUAGCGGUCAUAUUUACACGUGUUGCAAGACUUGCGGUAUUAUUUGUUAAUUCGAUACUUUGUCGGCGCUUUGUGAAAUACAAGUGGUAAUAUACUUUGAAUAUAAAUUAUGUGCUUCAAUUUAUAAAAACGAUAAUAUUUAUUUAAAUUUAUAAUAUUUAGAUCUAAAGUUGAAUGUCAGAACUUGGUUCUUUAGUCAUAUAUUUAUGUUUCGAUUUAAUAUCAACUCAUCAAAUAUUUCACUAUAAAAUAAUGCGUUUUUAUGCAACAAUUUCUUUACUAUUCUGUAUUGCGACGUGAAGCUGCUCGUUAUUUUUGUUAAGUGAGGAAUCUGCAACUUUCAACUUCAUUUAAAAUGUUAGUAAGUAUUUAUAACCCUAUAUAUCGAAUCUCUUUAAAACUUUGAUUUAAGUAUUGUUGGUAUAUUUUUAUUCUUUUUUGAAGGUCUGACUCCGAAUGUUCAGUAUACACGCGCACGCCCUCACCUGAACCGAAGAAGAUUGCUACAAAGAAUAUCAAGAAAAGGAAAUCAUCCUCAGCCGCAAGGUCCGAAGUUGAAACAGAAAAUCGACGGGUACUACAUUCAUCCUCACCAACACCUUGCGCGCAAAAGAAAAAAACAAC